AUCCUUUUGUAGUUCACAAGCAUGAUGAGGGUGUUCACGUGCGUGUGACAUGUGUCUCCCUCAAGCUUUGUUAUGACAUCGGUACGUUACCCGUCUGAUG